rnacentral:lncRNA from 1 species
UUUUAUAAAAACACAAAACCCUAGCCACCCUCCUAAGCUUGGCCGCCAUCCUCUUGCCGUCGACCAAGCAUCGCCGCCGCCUCCUUCUUGGCCGGUUCUACUCUCGGGUAUCUUGUGCUCGGUUGUGAACUUCCUACUAGCGGGGAUUCGUUGUAACCCGCGUGUUACAAUUCCGGUGUAGUCGUCAAAGGCUGAGGUGACACCGACCCAUUGUUGUUGGACUUUGUAGCAAUACCAAGGACAACAUCUAGCAAACCAUCCUCCUCUUCCGAUUUAUCACCAGUCAAAUCCUAUGGUCUUACUUUGCACGUGUUUUCUGGUACUAUAAAUAAAGCUUGGUAGACACAAAAGUGUAUCCAAACUACAGGCAAAUGACAUACAUUCUAAACUAUUCAGGUACACUGGCAAUUGUUGUACUAUUCAAAUGCUUUGAAACUUACAUUCAAUUGAUUGUAUGUGUUUCUUGAGGCUAAGAAACAUGACCGAUAAAGAUUAACGCAAUGAUGAUUCAAGUGAUUCCACCAUAAUAUUAUGUAAGGUUGAUAUGAUCCAAUAAUGAAUUAGGGUCAUUAAAGUGUGAGAUUAUUGUUGUUACACUUGGUCUAUUUCAUGCAUUAUAUACUCAUUUGUUACCAGGUUUGAAUCCAUCUCAACCUGAAAUUUGUCAAAGCCAUUAAAGAUCCUCGCAACUGAUAAAACCAUGGUUGCUAUGACUCAGUGAUUAUAAUGAUUAUCACAAGACCAUUGAAUGCCAUAUACUCACUAACAUUUUGGGACCAAAUGCUCAGGUUUGUGUUAUAUAGUUUUCGACGGCUGUGUUUUGUAUAAUGUUUUGGCGAUUGUAAUGUCGGUGGUUGUUGAGAUGAGGAUGGCUUCUGCGAUUGUUGAUUGAGGCUUAAUUUCUUCUAUUAAAGAGUCGGUAGCGGGUGGUGAUGAGAGUUCUCGGUUCAUUCUUAUGCCUCAGGUUAGGUUUUUAAAUUUCUUUAGUUUUGGUAUUUAGACUACGGGGAUUGGAGGGGCUUGGGUUGGGGGCAUUGCUCGACACGUAGCGAGGGUGGGAUCCACAAGCUUAGGGUGAACAAUGUGGUGUGGGGCGGGGCUUAGCUUGGCGUGGCGUGGCCGGCCAUGUGAAUUUUUUUUAAUUAAAGUAGCCACCCAAAGCUAGCCAUAUUGAACCGGCCAACCAAAGUAAGCCAAGUCACCCUGCCCCCCGCCCCACGGCAGGCUGAAUACCCACGCCAAAGUGGCACCGCCCCAACCAACGCCAAUCCGGAGUGAAGCAGCUGGCGUUGAAGGGCUUCCCCCGCCCCAACCAACGCCCCACUCCCCGCAGUCUUAAAUUAAGUCUUCUUACAUUUUGAAGUCUAACCGUUGUCUGUUGCAUAAAUUUCCAACUUAGAUUUUUAGUAUUUUCUCUAUCUACUAACUAAAGAAUGAUCAGACCGGUUUAAUCCUCAUUUGUGAAAAAAACUUCAUGGAUCUUAUUAUUAUUAUUGCAACACCUAGAAAUGAUCAAUUUUAUUAUAGCCUUGAAUACAAAGAGCAAGUUGGGAGUUUGAAGACCAUAUAUUGCUAGAUGAGAUCUCUUAAGGUUUCUACUAAAUUAGAAGAGUCUCAAUUUCUCAAUUCACUUUUGGCUUAUAACAAUUAUAAAACUUUGUAUGCCCCAACUCUUGGCAACAACCCAAUCAUAAUUAUUUAUCGAGUUCAAUGUUAAUCUAAUUUUAGUUACAUUUUGGGGCGACACUGAGCUCUUCAAUAAUUAUGGCCAAACUUGCCUUAUUUUUGUUUAAACCUUAUAUUAAUUAUGCAAUAAAAAGAUGGAAUUAAAGUAUGGGAGCACUUUUUUAUACCCAAGUUAUAGUUUAAACAUAAAAUAAUAAUUAGUUUCAUCGUUAAGUGAGGUAGGGUUGUUAAUCAUGUUGGAUUGGCGUGUUGAUGUGUUAAAUCAUUGAACCCACAGACAACCUAUAUUUAUUUGGUUUAUUUAUUUUCUAUAUUGUGUGGACAUAUUCUGGAUCUUUUAUUUUUGGCAGAUUUUGAUUUAUAAUUAUUAAUCCAAAGCGGACAGCGUGGCUUUGGGUUGUCCUUUAUGACAACAAGUAGCACAUAGGCUACAAAGGCUAGCGGUGGUUCUUAAAUCUCUUGCAACACACUAAGGUUUUGUCUGAACUAAACGUUUCAUAAUUGUUAAUUGUUGUAUGAUAUGUGUUUCAAGUCAUUAAGUCCACCUAUGUGCCAUUAUCAUGGUAAUAACACUCGCUUUUAUAUAUGAGAAGUUCUAAGUUUAUUGUUUGAUUGUAGUUACGACAUCAAAAAUUAUAUGGGCAUGCAUUGGCGCCUUGAAGACGCUUCGCGAAUGGCUAGAAAUUGCCGUUGGCAUAGGUAAGGUAGGUGGUGUUUGAUGGAGCUGAUAACAAUUUAGAAGUUAUUGUAUUUGUAAGUAUUUAGAAGUUAUGUAUUUGUAACAAUUUAAUUUAAUAGAUUU